UACGUAGGGUGCGAGCGUUGCCCGGAUUUAUUGGGCGUAAAGCGCGCGCAGGCGGCGGUGCUGGCCCGGCGUGAAAGCCCCCGGCUCAACCGGGGAGAGUCGUCGGGGACCGCACCGCUUGAGGGCGGUAGGGGCUGGUGGAAUGCCUGGUGUAGUGGUGAAAUGCGUAGAGAUCAGGCAGAACACCUGGGGCGAAGGCGGCCAGCUGGGCCGUCCCUGACGCUGAGGCGCGAAGGCGUGGGGAGCGAACGGG
rnacentral:rRNA from 1 species